rnacentral:lncRNA from 1 species
CCUAAGUUGGCUAGAAUAAUAUUUACUACAAUAUUUACUCUGUUUAGUACCAAACUACCAAAGACAUUAUCUACCUAAUAUCAGAUGAACAAAGAAAGACAAAUUCUAAACUACAGUAUGCAUUCAUAGGUUUUGCCAGACUAUCUGCCCAUUUCUACAGUAUCAUUACAGUAAGUUAGUCAAAUAGAGUUAGCAUGCAUAUUCUACUUUGGAACAUCUGAAAAAAUACUGGAUAUUCAGGAUAACAAUGUGACAUGACAAAAACAUAUUUUUAAUGUUAUAAUGACCAUUGGUGUUCAGAUAUGGGCGAAGUCUGUAUUGUGGAAACAUGGCUAGUGCUACAGUUAUAUAUUGUUCAUAUCAAUGGCCCAAAAUGCUAGUAUGUGACCACAGUAGAACCAAUUUCCAUAUGCAUUGUUAUUGAUAAGGAUUUGAGUUUAGUUGGUAAGAUGCCUAUUAAUGUUUUGUAUAGACCACACAAUGGGUCAUUCUAGAAAAGAUUCACACUCCCACCAAGGAGGAAAUUUCUCCUGUCCAGAGGGAGAGGGGGGAAAAUUGUUUCUGAUAAUAGUAAUUGUAUUAGGACAUCUAAAGGGGAUAGAGAUAUGGGGCCUGAGGUACAGUAUGGAUGUUUUCUGGAAUGACCUAAUAAAUAG